CGGCGGACGGGUGAGUAACGCGUGGGUAACCUGCCUCAUACAGGGGGAUAACAGUUAGAAAUGACUGCUAAUACCGCAUAAGCGCACAGGACCGCAUGGUCCGGUGUGAAAAACUCCGGUGGUAUGAGAUGGACCCGCGUCUAAUUAGUUAGUUGGCGGGGUAACGGCCCACCAAGGCGACGAUCAGUAGCCGGCCUGAGAGGGUGAACGGCCACAUUGGGACUGAGACACGGCCCAAACUCCUACGGAAGGCAGCAG
rnacentral:rRNA from 1 species